GACGAACGCUGGCGGCGUGCUUAACACAUGCAAGUCGAACGGAAAGGCCCUGCUUUUGUGGGGUGCUCGAGUGGCGAACGGGUGAGUAACACGUGAGUAACCUGCCCUUGACUUUGGGAUAACUUCAGGAAACUGGGGCUAAUACCGGAUAGGAGCUCCUGCUGCAUGGUGGGGGUUGGAAAGUUUCGGCGGUUGGGGAUGGACUCGCGGCUUAUCAGCUUGUUGGUGGGGUAGUGGCUUACCAAGGCUUUGACGGGUAGCCGGCCUGAGAGGGUGACCGGCCACAUUGGGACUGAGAUUAGGCCCAGACUCCUACGGGAGGCAGCAGUGGGGAAUAUUGCACAAUGGGCGGAAGCCUGAUGCAGCAACGCCGCGUGCGGGAUGACGGCCUUCGGGUUGUAAACCGCUUUCGCCUGUGACGAAGCGUGAGUGACGGUAAUGGGUAAAGAAGCACCGGCUAACUACGUG
rnacentral:rRNA from 1 species